rnacentral:rRNA from 1 species
CGAACGCUGGCGGCGUGCCUAAUACAUGCAAGUAGAACGCUGAAGGAGGAGCUUGCUUCUCUGGCUGAGUUGCGAACGGGUGAGUAACGCGUAGGUAACCUGCCUGGUAGCGGGGGAUAACUAUUGGAAACGAUAGCUAAUACCGCAUAAUAGCAGUUGUUGCAUGACAACUGUUUGAAAGGUGCAAUUGCACCACUACCAGAUGGACCUGCGUUGUAUUAGCUAGUUGGUGGGGUAACGGCUCACCAAGGCGACGAUACAUAGCCGACCUGAGAGGGUGAUCGGCCACACUGGGACUGAGACACGGCCCAGACUCCUACGGGAGGCAGCAGUAGGGAAUCUUCGGCAAUGGACGGAAGUCUGACCGAGCAACGCCGCGUGAGUGAAGAAGGUUUUCGGAUCGUAAAGCUCGGUUGUAAGAGAAGAACGAGUGUGAGAGUGGAAAGUUCACACUGUGACGGUAUCUUACCAGAAAGGGACGGCUAACUACGUG